AGCUGUUGGGCAGCUUUAGCUCAGCUGGUUAGAGCAUGGUGCUGCUAACGCCAAGGUCGCGGGUUCAAUCCCCGUCCUGGCUA